rnacentral:rRNA from 1 species
UACGAAGGGGGGCUAGCGUUGCUCGGAAUCACUGGGCGUAAAGGGUGCGUAGGCGGGUCUUUAAGUCAGGGGUGAAAUCCUGGAGCUCAACUCCAGAACUGCCUUUGAUACUGAGGAUCUUGAGUUCGGGAGAGGUGAGUGGAACUGCGAGUGUAGAGGUGAAAAUUCGUAGAUAUUCGCAAGAACACCAGUGGCGAAGGCGGCUCACUGGCCCGAUACUGACGCUGAGGCACGAAAGCGUGGGGAGCAAACAGGG